UCCGUAGGUGAACCUGCGGAAGGAUCAUUACCAAUUCAACGGUGUGGUCGCGGCCUCCGGGGGCUCCCCCCGGGCGGUAGAGGUAACACUCUUACGCGCCACAUGUCUGAAUCCUUUUUUUACGAGCACCUUUCGUUCUCCUUCGGUGGGGCAACCUGCCGUUGGAACUUAUCAAAACCUUUUUUGCAUCU
rnacentral:misc_RNA from 1 species